rnacentral:rRNA from 1 species
UGAGGAAUAUUGGACAAUGGAGGCAACUCUGAUCCAGCCAUGCCGCGUGAAGGACUAAGGCCCUAUGGGCUGUAAACUUCUUUAGACGCAGAGCAAUAAGGGCCACGCGUGGUCCGAUGAGAGUAUGCGUAGAAUAAGCAUCGGCUAACUCCGUGCCAGCAGCCGCGGUAAUACGGGGGGUGCGAGCGUUAUCCGGAUUCAUUGGGUUUAAAGGGUGCGUAGGCGGCUUUGCAAGUCAGCGGUGAAAGGCCCGGGCUCAACCCGGAAAGUGCCGUUGAAACUGGCGUUCUUGAGUGUAAACGAGGUAGGCGGAAUGUGACGUGUAGCGGUAAAAUGCUUAGAUAUGUCACAGAACCCCGAUUGCGAAGGCAGCUUACCAGCAUACAACUGACGCUGAGGCACGAAAGCGUGGGUAUCAAACAGGAUUAGAUACCCUGGUAGU